rfam:Firmicutes bacterium CAG:129 genomic scaffold, scf420
AUAUAAUAAUGAAGCGUUCCAAAGACAGCAGGGGAGGGUCACACCUCGUAAGUCCUGCCGAGGAUGGCAAAUCGUUAUGAUUGCUUACACCGUCCUUGUGUCUUUCGGCAUGAGGACGGUUUCCUUUUUAGAAC